rnacentral:lncRNA from 1 species
GACCCAUUGAAGAAACAGGUUGUGUAGUCUUUAUCUUUAGAUGAAUCGUUAGCUACUUUAUCUUCAUAGAGUAACAGAUUGUGUAGUCUUCCAUUGAAGUGAUUUGAGGGUUGCAGAGAUCACAUCCACUGGUUAUGAAGAGGAUCCUAUGCAACAUCUUGAUAACAAAAAGAGAUUUGAGGUGGUGUCGAAUGACGUUGAUAACAAGUAGGAUGCAUGCUCACUUAGGACUAGACGAGGCCUUAGUGACUUAAUAACGAUGAUAGACGAUAUGUAAUCUUGUUUGUUUAGUUUCAAAGACAAUGCUAAUGUUUAAUAUUUAAUAAAACGAAACAUUUU